rnacentral:rRNA from 1 species
CCUACGGGAUGCAGCAGUGAGGAAUAUUGGUCCAUGGCCGGAAGGCUGAACCAGCCAAGUCGCGUGAGGGAAUAAGGCCCUAUGGGUCGUAAACCUCUUUUGUCAGGGAGCAAAGCCGUCCACGUGUGGACGAGAGGCGAUUACCUGAAUAAAAAGCAUCGGCUAACUCCGUGCCAGCAGCCGCGGUAAUACGGAGGAUGCCAGCGUUAUCCGGAUUUAUUGGGUUUAAAGGGUGCGUAGGCGGAGUGUCAAGUCAGCGGUAAAAUUUCGGGGGUCAACCCCGUCGGUCCGUUGAAACUGACGCCCGUGAGUGAGUGAGAAGUAAGCGGAAUGCGUGGUGUAGCGGUGAAAUGCAUAGAUAUCACGCAGAACGCCGAUUGCGAAGGCAGCUUACCGGCGCUCAACGGACGCUGAGGCACGAAAGUGCGGGUAUCGAACAGGAUUAGAUACCCUUGUAGUC